rnacentral:rRNA from 1 species
UGGGGAAUUUUGGACAAUGGGCGCAAGCCUGAUCCAGCCAUGCCGCGUGAGUGAAGAAGGCCUUCGGGUUGUAAAGCUCUUUCGGCGGGGACGAAACGGUUCGUGACAACACUACGGACUAAUGACGGUACCCGCAUAAGAAGCACCGGCUAACUACGUGCCAGCAGCCGCGGUAAUACGUAGGGUGCAGGCGUUAAUCGGAAUUACUGGGCGUAAAGCGUGCGCAGGCGGUUUGUUAAGACAGGUGUGAAAUCCCCGGGCUUAACCUGGGAAUUGCGCUUGUAACUGGCAGGCUAGAGUGUGGCAGAGGGGGGUGGAAUUCCACGUGUAGCAGUGAAAUGCGUAGAGAUGUGGAGGAACACCGAUGGCGAAGGCAGCCCCCUGGGUCAACACUGACGCUCAUGCACGAAAGCGUGGGGAGCAAACAGGAUUAGAUACCCCAGUAGUCCCUGAGCGGGCUGGCAAGGCGCAU